GAUGAACGCUGGCGGCGUGCCUAAUACAUGCAAGUCGAGCGAACGGACGAGAAGCUUGCUUCUCUGAUGUUAGCGGCGGACGGGUGAGUAACACGUGGAUAACCUACCUAUAAGACUGGGAUAACUUCUGGAAACCGUAGCUAAUACCGGAUAAUAUUUUGAACCGCAUGUUUCAAAAGUGAAAGACGGUCUUGCUGUCACUUAUAGAUGUAUCCGCGCUGCAUUAGCUAGUUGGUAAGGUAACGGCUUACCAAGGCAACGAUGCAUAGCCGACCUGGGAGGGUGAUCGGCCACACUGGAACGGAGACACGGUCCAGACUCCUACGGGAGGCAGCAGUAGGGAAUCUUCCGAAAUGGGCGAAAGCCUGACGGAGCAACGCCGCGUGAGUGAUGAAGGUCUUCGGAUCGUAAAACUCUGUGAUUAGGGAAGAACAUAUGUGUAAGUAACUGUGCACAUCUUGACGGUACCUAAUCAGAAAGCCACGGCUAACUACGUG
rnacentral:rRNA from 1 species